GCGAUCGUCGUCCAGCAGCAGGACGCCGGCCUCCCAUGCCGGAGACACGGGUGCAACUCCCGUCGAUCGCUUCA
rnacentral:tRNA from 2 species